UCGUGCUAGAUGGGGAGCUAGCGGUGCCCUGUAACCCGAAAUCCGCUUAUGCGGGAUUGAACAGCCUUCAUGAGAAUCUCGCCUUGGCACUGCCCCUGAUCGAGCCUGCCGAGGGGGUGGAGCUCACGUGACGUACGCUUAUGAACCCCGUCAGGUCCGGAAGGAAGCAGCGGUAAAUAAUGCCGUCCGUGUCGUGAUGAUAUCUACCCCUAUCACAGAUCGAUGAAGACAUGCCGUGGAAGAUUCGACGAGGGAUGCACGA
rnacentral:SRP_RNA from 1 species